rnacentral:rRNA from 1 species
AUUGAACGCUGGCGGCAUGCUUUACACAUGCAAGUCGAACGGCAGCGGGGUAGUGCUUGCACUACUGCCGGCGAGGGGCGAACGGGUGAGUAAUAUAUCGGAACGUACCGAGUAAGGGGGGAUAACCGAUCGAAAGAUUGACUAAUACCGCAUACGUCCUGAGGGAGAAAGCGGGGGAUCGCAAGACCUCGCGUUAUUCGAGCGGCCGAAACUGAGUAGCUAGUGGGUGGGGUAAAGGCCUACCAAGGCGACGAUCAGUAGCGGGUCGGAGAGGACGAUCCGCCACACUGGGACUGAGACACGGCCCAGACUCCUACGGGAGGCAGCAGUGGGGAAUGUUGGACAAUGGGGGCAACCCUGAUCCAGCCAGGCCGCGUGUAUGAAGAAGGCGUUCGGGUUGUAAAGUACUUUUGUUAGGGAAGAAAAGGGAAGUGCUAAUACCACUUUUUGCUGACGGUACCUAAAGAAUAAGCACCGGCUAACUACGUG